AUGAUGACUUCAGCAGGGAAAAAUGAGAUUAAUUUGAGUUCCAUGUCAUUAUUUUUCGGUCCUCUAUGACCACCCAGAUGUUUGAAAUUGAUCAUCACUGACAGUUUCAACAUUUGGUCUAGCAAUUCCUUAGAAAUCCAAGGUUCCUGGUGGGAAGAGUCACAUCUAAUCUCAAGAAGCUUUUCUUUUGUAGGAUGCUACAUCAUUCUCAGAUGGUGAGAAGGCUGGCGUAGAAGCUGUCUGAAUCUAUGCAAUCAAAAAGGAUCAAAGUAGAGACAUGAAUUCCUCUGAACUUGAAAUGGAAAUGAGUGUGUUGCCAGUAUCUAUUCAUCCGCCUAAAACCACGUAAAUAAUUUCAGAAGUUUUCAGCCGUCUACCAAAGUGACAGGAGCAGUGAGGGAGUAAAGUAGAAACACAUUGACAACUUUAUUUCUAUUGACUAGAUAAAUAAUCUUCAUCACUCACAGUGAUGAAACUCAUCAGAAACAGAAGCAAAAUGUUCAUGUUUCAGUCCAUGAGUAGGGAUUGAAUCCCAUUGGAACAAUAAAAAAAAGCGAACACUGGGAGGAUAACA
rnacentral:lncRNA from 13 species